UGGGGGAUAUUGCACAAUGGGCGAAAGCCUGAUGCAGCGACGCCGCGUGGGGGAUGAAGGCUUUCGGGUUGUAAACCUCUUUCGCUAUCGAACAAGGCCCGCUUAGGGUGGGUUGAGGGUAGGUGGAGAAGAAGCGCCGGCUAACUACGUGCCAGCAGCCGCGGUAAUACGUAGGGCGCGAGCGUUGUCCGGAAUUAUUGGGCGUAAAGGGCUUGUAGGCGGCUUGUUGCGCCUGCUGUGAAAACGCGGGGCUUAACUUCGCGCGUGCAGUGGGUACGGGCAGGCUUGAGUGUGGUAGGGGUGACUGGAAUUCCAGGUGUAGCGGUGGAAUGCACUGAUAUCUGGAGGAACACCGAUGGCGAAGGCAGGUCACUGGGCCAUUACUGACGCUGAGGAGCGAAAGCAUGGGUAGCGAACAGG
rnacentral:rRNA from 1 species